rnacentral:rRNA from 1 species
GACAGAGGGUGCAAACGUUGUUCGGAAUUACUGGGCGUAAAGCGCGCGUAGGCGGCUUUGUAAGUUAGAGGUGAAAGCCCAGGGCUCAACCCUGGAAUUGCCUUUAAGACUGCAUCGCUUGAACAUCGGAGAGGUAAGUGGAAUUCCGAGUGUAGAGGUGAAAUUCGUAGAUAUUCGGAAGAACACCAGUGGCGAAGGCGACUUACUGGACGAUUGUUGACGCUGAGGUGCGAAAGCGUGGGGAGCAAACAGG